rnacentral:rRNA from 1 species
UACGAAGGGGGCUAGCGUUGCUCGGAAUUACUGGGCGUAAAGGGCGCGUAGGCGGUCAGUUAAGUCAGAGGUGAAAGCCCAGGGCUCAACCCUGGAAUAGCCUUUGAUACUGGCUGUCUUGAGUGCGGGAGAGGUGUGUGGAACUCCGAGUGUAGAGGUGAAAUUCGUAGAGAUCCCCAAGAACACCAGUUGCGAAGGCGGCUGACUGGACACAUAUUGACGCUGAGGCUCGAAAGCAUGGGGAGCAAACAGG